UACGAAGGGGGCUAGCGUUGCUCGGAAUCACUGGGCGUAAAGCGCACGUAGGCGGUCUCUUAAGUCGGUGGUGAAAUCCUGGAGCUCAACUCCAGAACUGCCUUCGAUACUGGGAGUCUCGAGUUCGUGAGAGGUGAGUGGAACUGCGAGUGUAGAGGUGAAAUUCGUAGAUAUUCGGAGGAACACCAGUGGCGAAGGCGGCUCGCUGGCUCGAUACUGACGCUGAGGUGCGAAAGCGUGGGGAGCAAACAGG
rnacentral:rRNA from 1 species